rnacentral:rRNA from 1 species
CGACGAAGGUGGCGAGCGUUGUUCGGAAUCACUGGGCUUAAAGAGCACGUAGGCGGGCCAUCAAGCGUCAUGUGAAAGCCCUCGGCUCAACCGAGGAAUUGCCUGGCGAACUGAUGGUCUUGAGGCAGGUAGGGGCGAGUGGAACUCUUGGUGGGGCGGUGGAAUGCGUAGAUAUCAAGAGGAACGCCGGAGGCGAAGGCGACUCGCUGGGCCUGACCUGACGCUGAGGUGCGAAAGCCAGGGGAGCGAACGGGAUUAGAAACCCCAGUAGUCC